rnacentral:tRNA from 1 species
GAGGAUAUAGCUCAGUGGUACAGUGCAUGCUUAGCAUGCAUGAGGUCCUGGGUUCAAAGCCCAGUACCUCCA